GGGGCUGUAGCUCAGAUGGGAGAGCGCGUCGUUCGCAAUGACGAGGUCAGGGGUUCGAUCCCCCUCAGCUCCACCA
rnacentral:tRNA from 9 species